UGGCGGAAUGGAUUAGGCAUGCAAGUCGAACGGUCUGGGGGCGAACUCCAGACAGUGGCGCAAGGGUGAGGAACGCGUGAGCAAUCUGCCUUGAAGUUGGGAAUAGCUCCGGGAAACUGGAAUUAAUACCGAAUGUGGCUGCGAGACCGCAUGGUUUUGCAGCUAAGGGCGCAAGUCGCUUCAAGAGAAGCUCGCGUCCUAUUAGCUAGUUGGUGAGGUAAUGGCCCACCAAGGCGAAGAUGGGUAGCUGGUCUGAGAGGACGACCAGCCACAUUGGGACUGAGACACUGCCCAGACUCCUACGGGAGGCUGCAGUCGAGAAUCUUGGGCAAUGGGCGAAAGCCCUGACCCAGCAAUUCCGCGUGCGGGAUGAAGGUCUUCGGAUUGUAAACCGCUGUCACUGGGGACGAAUUUUGACGGUACCUGGAGAGGAAGACACGGCUAACUACGUGCCAGCCGCGGC
rnacentral:rRNA from 1 species